UAAUUGUUGGUCUACAGCUGUGGUUCCCACCGCUAAAGAUAAAUCUAAGGGACGCAAAAUGAUCAGCGGGAUGGGAACGUAGAAAGAAAUAUUUUUACUGCUAAUAGACCCUUUUUGUGUCGACGUCAUGAUGACGUCACGGUGUUAGCUGGAGGCAAAACAAAGGAAAGACUGGAGGCUAACACUAGCAGUGGGCUAAAGUUACACAUCUAAAACGUCAUCUUACUCUGUUGCCGGGUGCCAGAUUCAAGAUAUCACAGACAUUUGAGAUGACAAACUGUGAUUCGAGGCUCUAGAGAGCUUCAAUAUCGGCGAAACGUUUCAGAGAUGGAGAGUAAAUGUUGCUAAUAUUCAGCCGCCAAUCAAUGGCUCACGGCUGCGGUUAGCAGAAGGCUAAACUAUUAACAACCCUUUCUCUCCAUCUCUGAAACGCUUCGCCGAUAUUGUACGACUCUCUUUUUGACUGACUUUACUGAAGGAUAGUUAACUAUAAGCAUCCAAAGAUUUAUACGCCCUCAAUUUAUCUUUACAGCGUUGCCGUUGGCCAUCUGGUCCCGUUGGUUAAUGUUAACUUUCUCAACUAACACUCGUGAUCCUGGAGAGUGAGUGACGGGACAUAUUGAGAGAAACUGGUAUUUUCUUCGGCCAUUGUUAAAGAAAACAAGGCAACAAUACUUGCUAGCCAGCGAUAAAACUGAAGU